rnacentral:lncRNA from 1 species
GAUCAUCUAUGCUUUAGAAAGUCCAUAAUGCUCCUUUAAUACAGAAAAGAAUGAGUAGGAAGGAAGGAAGGAAGGAAGGCAGGGAGGGAGAGAGGGAGGAAGGGAGGACGGGAGGAAGGGAAGAAGGAAAGGAAGGCAGGCAGGCAGGGAAAAGGAAAAGCAAAAUGAAAAACAAACAAACUCAUGAUUUAUUACUAUUCUCUCAUUCCUGCACUGUUAUGAAACCAUAAGGAAAGGACCUCCUGGGAAAUAUUUUCUGGGCAAGCAGAAAGGUUCCUUGGUGUUUUCGAGUGCCAAGAUAAAUACAAGAAAUCUUCAGGUGAGCUAAACUGAUGGUAGCCUGACCUCGUGUUGACCCCAACACACACUAUCAUAGAUUUUGUUUACAGCCGUGUUUGUCUUUCUUUAUGACCACAGUGACUACAGCAUUCAAAAUUCAAAAGCUUUAAGAUCACCAGAUAUUCUCUGUAUUCUUGAAAGCAGUACAGAGAAGGAACACUUCUCAAGUCACUUGGAUUGUUCAGCCUUGAGAAGAAGAAACUGAGUGCCAUGAUGGUAACCAGCUGUUGUUCUUUCCAGUGCUUAGUAGGGUACCAAUUUCCUCUGGGAUUUCCAGUAACUACUGUUAUACAAAUGAUAGCAACACUGCUUUUUGAAUAUGUUCCACAUGUGUAGAAACAGCCCUAUCCAGUGCUUUUGUGCUGCUGCUCCAGUAUCAGCUGAGCAAAGUCUAAGUGUAGAGGAUAAAAAGAAGAUUAAAAAAAAAAAAAAAAAAAAGCUCAACAGGAAACAAGCAGUGUGCAUGCAAUUUAACAUGACUGUCACAUUAUGCUGUCUAAGAACUAAGAGCCUGAAUUCAAUUCAGGAGUUGGCAGUGAAUGGAUGCAAAAAUAAAAUCAUAAAAGUGAUGGUAGUUGAGAACAACUUCUACAAAUUGCUGAUAUCUUGUCAACCUGUCAGGACUUGUCUAUAUGGAAAAUUAGUUCUCAGGAAAUCAAGGAUAUUGACUGGAAAACUUAUGUCACGUAAUGUAUUAAUCAAGGAGCUCCAUAAACAAAACUGAGGAUGAUUGAAGGAUGAACUGUUGGUGAGAAUUUAAAACCACUGAUUCACAAAGGUGAGUGAACUAGACCAUUGCAUCAGAGGUCUUCAUUACAGAUUGGAGGUGAGCAGAUUGCAUUUCUUCCUUAGACCAUGACAAAUGCAACUGUUGCCUCAGACUAUUGCUGUGAUAUUUGGAAGAAAUUCAGCUUUGUUUGCUGCUAUAAACAAGAGAAAUCCUUCAGUAAUUAAUUAUAUUUUUACUCAUGCUAGGAAAAACAUUUCUGCUCAAAACCUCCAAUAUCACUUUCUAUUUUGAAAACUUUUUUUUUUUUUUUUUAAACAAACAAACAAACAAACAAUCAAACAAAAAAAACUCUUUGUGGUGAUGUCCUGGUUUUGGCUGGGAUAGAUUUAAUUUUCUUUGUAGAUGCUUGUAUGAUGCUGUGUUUUGGACUUUUGAUUACAAUAGUGGUGAUACUACACCGAUGGUUUAGUUGUUGCAGAGCAGUGCUCACACAGAGCUCCUCAUGCUGCCGUGCCAGUGCAGACUUGGGGUGCACAAGGAGCUGGAAGGGGACACAACCAGGACAACUGGUCCAGGAUGGCCAAAAGGAUGCCCCGGAUCAUGUGGUGUCAUGCUCAGCAAUAACAGCUGGAAGGAAAGGAAAUGGCGGGACAUUCAGAGUGAUGACCUUUGUCUUCCCAAUAAAUCAUUUCACGUGAUGAGCCCUGCUUUCUUG